rnacentral:rRNA from 1 species
AUGAUGGAGGUGGCGGUGGAGAGCCCGCAGCCGGCGGCGUGGGACCACUUCAAGGAGGAGGUGGAGGUCAUGGAGGCGGAGGGCGGCGGCACUGCCGUCGCCACCGCCACCGCCACCGCCGCCGCUGCUGCUGCAGGGGAGCUGCUGACGAGGGAGAUCAAGAAUAGGCUGCUGGUCCAUGCCCAUGAGAAUGGGAACCAUGGCCAUGACAAUGGAGGAGAAGCAGAGGAGCUUAAGGCUCAUGAGGAGGAGGAGAAGAAGCAGGAAGAGGCUCCUGAAGAACCCAAGGUUGCUGAAGAGGAGCAGCAGCGUCACAAGAGUAUCUUCUUCGAUGCAGCCAAAGGGUUAUGGAAGUGCCGGCACUGCGAUUGGACGUACCGCCUGAGUAGUCCCUGUGGAAAUGGUACCGUAGAUCAUCGAGGCUAUCGCCACCGAAUCGAACGGAAUAUCGAAUCGUUAGUUGAGAAGAAAGGAUCGUUUUACGGCUCACCGAACAAAGUUCCUGAUAUUAUUACUGAGGUAAGUGCCAGAUAUCUGGUCACGGGAACGAUGCGAUCUGGUGCCGAAAAGCAAGACGCAAACGGAAAUCCGAGUCCGAAAGGCAAAGAGCUUGAAGCACAUGAAAAUGGCAGUGUUCAAGAAAUCAACCAUGGUCCAAACAAAGGCAAGUUAGAAAAUGGAUCACACUCAAAUGGUUCACAUCAGGUCCCCAACGGUGCUGAACCUAAGGCAGAGUACCUGUUUGAAAUCAACAAGACUCAAAUGUACCCAACUGAAGUUGACAAGGACAAACAUGUCACAGAGGCUCAGCCGAAGGUCGAAGAGUACGACCUCGAGAAGAUUUUGGACCAGCAAGAAACUCAUGACCUGUUCUGUCCCAACUGCAAAUCGUGCAUAACUCGGAGGGUGAUCCUGAAGAAGAGGAAAAGGACAGUAAGGCCAGCAACCCCCGAUGGACCGUCAAAGAGACCGUACACUGAAGAAGUAACAGUGCCACUGCCUUCUGCUACUUUUCCUGGAAGUGAUGAGCAAGAGUCACCCAACGUGUUCCGAUGUUUGUCAUGCUUCUCCUUCUUCAUUCCAGCAGGAUGCAGUUUCAACAUAUUCCGUAUAUUUGGGAGGAGGGAUGUGGACCAAGUUGGUGUUCUGCCUCCUCGGGCAUCAGAGGACACGCCUCCUCGGUCUGAAAAUUGCACAAGCUGGCUUCUGUCUUGUUUCCAGCCAGGAGAUAGCCCAAACCAACCUCAUCCUGCUGAUUCAGUGACAGUGCCCCUGUUGUCCGGUACACAGGGCUCCAACAAUACAACCACAACAACUGAAUCUAGCACAUCAUAUGUUCAUCAUAGUCAUGGCACGGUUGUAAAACCAGAGCAGUCGACAGUCGAAUCAUCUUCGGAGAACCAAACUGCUCCAGAUCCAGCGACCACGCCACUGUUGUCUGAUACGGAAAGCCCCAAUGAUACAACCACAACAACUGAAUCUAGCACAUCCUAUGUUCAUCAUAGCCAUGGCAUAGUUGUAAAACCAGACCACUCGAUAACCGAAUCAUCGUCGGAAGAUCAGACCACGACAACCACCACAACUACGACCACAUCGGCAAUAGCUACCACAUCCUCUACAACCACAUCAGCAGCAGCAGCCACCCACUCAUCGUCUGCUGCAGGAAUCUUUCACUCAGACGUAAUGGAAGUGAUAACCGGUGACAUGCCUCCCCUGAAGCCUGCCGGUGGAGUUACCAUGGAUGCAACUCACCACCUACUUGGCCAUGAAGAUGUUCAUGGAACUGCGCCGACAACCUUCGAGAAUGGCUCAUUUACGACCCAUGCAAGUCACACGUCAACACUCAAGGUCGACGGCCCGAACAUGACGACUAUCGGGAGGGGCGAUAUGCAAACCUCGCCGAAUGCUCAACCGGCAGAUCAUGUUGUGGUACCAGUCUUCGGAGAUGUGAAUCAGGUUGCUCCUAGACCCCAACAGAGGGAUGACUGGGAUAUACUGAAAGCCAUAGUGUAUGGAGGCUUAGUGGAGUCAGUCACCAGCCUCUCCGUUGUUUCGGCAGCAGCAUCAAGUGGAGCAAAAACAUUGGACAUAUUCAUCCUGGGCAUAGCCAACCUUAUCGGAGGGCUUCCUCUCAUUUACCACAAUAUCGCCGAUCUGAGAGACAUCCGAGACGUGAACGACGACAAUGAGCAAGUCGGCCACUACUGGCUGCAGCUCGGAAGGCGGUCUAAAGCCCAGCUCCACAUGGUCCUGGCCCUGCUCUCAUACAUGGUGUUCGGGUUGCUUCCACCAGUCAUCUACGGACUGUCGUUCCGCGAGAGCAAUGACAGGGAGAACAAGAUGAUGGCUGUCGCCGGUGCUUCGCUUGCCUCCAUCGCUCUGCUAGCGCUCGGAAAGGCGCAUGUCCAGACAGCACCCAGGGCAUACUUCAAGACGCUCAUGUACUACCUGACGAUCGCGGUGAGCUCGUCGGGGCUGUCGUACGUCGCCGGCGUGCUCAUCACGCGGCUCCUGGAGCACUUUGGUGUCAUCGAGCAAGGCGGUUCGGCAGCUCCAGCUCCUCCAGGGCUGUCGUUCGCUCAUUCAGUGGGUGCACAGACAUCUGCAUGGGCCUCAUUCUGA